rnacentral:ncRNA from 1 species
UGUAUCCACUAGGGGCGCCUGUACGGGCUGAGAUAAAGCAUCUGCUUUGGUCCCUUUGAACCUGAUCUGGGUCAUGCCAGCGUAGGAAAGUGGUUGAGACUUCGU